rnacentral:rRNA from 1 species
GACGAAGGGGGCUAGCGUUGUUCGGAAUUACUGGGCGUAAAGCGUGCGCAGGCGGUUUCUUAAGUCAGAUGUGAAAGCCCCGGGCUUAACCUGGGAACUGCGUUUGAAACUGGGAGACUUGAGUGUGGCAGAGGGGGGUGGAAUUCCACGUGUAGCAGUGAAAUGCGUAGAUAUGUGGAGGAACACCGAUGGCGAAGGCAGCCCCCUGGGUUAACACUGACGCUCAUGCACGAAAGCGUGGGGAGCAAACAGG